UUCCCAAAAUAGCUGUGUCCUUUGUAAAGUAAUGAAGAUUUCCGAGUAAGGUUAAGGUCCCUUUCCCAAUAUGCUACGGGAAGUUGAGGUAGAGAUCAUAAGUAAUGAUAUAUGUAAUCAAGUUCAUGUGUAUGUAUCAUCAGGAAUGAUACGUGCUGGAUUCUUGUCAGGAAAACUAGAUGCCUGUAAGGGUGAUUCUGGAGGUCCUCUGGUUAUUGCACGUGAUAGAAAUGCCUGGUACCUUGUUGGAAUAGUAAGCUGGGGAAUAGACUGUGGAAAAUAAAACAAGCCAGGACUUUAUACCGAAGUGACUCAUUAUUGGGACUGGAUUAAAUCUAAAACUAACAUCUAAUGCAACAAUCAUCUCAAAUCCAAACUAUAAAUGUCAUGUGUGGUCUCU
rnacentral:lncRNA from 1 species